AGAGUUUGAUCCUGGCUCAGAACGAACGCUGGCGGCGUGGAUAAGACAUGCAAGCCGAACGAGAGAAUUGCUAGCUUGCUAAUAAUUCUCUAGUGGCGCACGGGUGAGUAACACGUGAGUAACCUGCCCCCGAGAGCGGGAUAGCCCUGGGAAACUGGGAUUAAUACCGCAUAGUAUCGAAAGAUUGAAGCAGCAAUGCGCUUGGGGAUGGGCUCGCGGCCUAUUAGUUAGUUGGUGAGGUAACGGCUCACCAAGGCGAUGACGGGUAGCCGGUCUGAGAGGAUGUCCGGCCACACUGGAACUGAGACACGGUCCAGACACCUACGGGUGGCAGCAGUCGAGAAUCAUUCACAAUGGGGGAAACCCUGAUGGUGCGACGCCGCGUGGGGGAAUGAAGGUCUUCGGAUUGUAAACCCCUGUCAUGUGGGAGCAAAUUAAAAAGAUAGUACCACAAGAGGAAGAGACGGCUAACUCUGUGCCAGCAGCCGCGGUAAUACAGAGGUCUCAAGCGUUGUUCGGAAUCACUGGGCGUAAAGCGUGCGUAGGCUGUUUCGUAAGUCGUGUGUGAAAGGCGCGGGCUCAACCCGCGGACGGCACAUGAUACUGCGAGACUAGAGUAAUGGAGGGGGAACCGGAAUUCUCGGUGUAGCAGUGAAAUGCGUAGAUAUCGAGAGGAACACUCGUGGCGAAGGCGGGUUCCUGGACAUUAACUGACGCUGAGGCACGAAGGCCAGGGGAGCGAAAGGGAUUAGAUACCCCUGUAGUCCUGGCAGUAAACGGUGCACGCUUGGUGUGCGGGGAAUCGACCCCCUGCGUGCCGGAGCUAACGCGUUAAGCGUGCCGCCUGGGGAGUACGGUCGCAAGAUUAAAACUCAAAGAAAUUGACGGGGACCCGCACAAGCGGUGGAGUAUGUGGCUUAAUUCGAUGCAACGCGAAGAACCUUACCUGGGCUUGGCAUGUAAUGAACAACAUGUGAAAGCAUGCGACUCUUCGGAGGCGUUACACAGGUGCUGCAUGGCCGUCGUCAGCUCGUGUCGUGAGAUGUUUGGUUAAGUCCAGCAACGAGCGCAACCCCUGUUGCCAGUUACCAGCACGUGAAGGUGGGGACUCUGGCGAGACUGCCCAGAUCAACUGGGAGGAAGGUGGGGACGACGUCAGGUCAGUAUGGCCCUUAUGCCCAGGGCUGCACACGUACUACAAUGCCCAGUACAGAGGGGGCCGAAGCCGCGAGGCGGAGGAAAUCCUAAAAACUGGGCCCAGUUCGGACUGUAGGCUGCAACCCGCCUACACGAAGCCGGAAUCGCUAGUAAUGGCGCAUCAGCUACGGCGCCGUGAAUACGUUCCCGGGUCUUGUACACACCGCCCGUCA
rnacentral:rRNA from 1 species